AAUCAACGCUGGCGGCGUGCCUAACACAUGCAAGUCGCACGAGAAAGGGGAGCAAUCCCUGAGUAAAGUGGCGCACGGGUGAGUAACACGUGAAUUAUCUACCUCCGAGUGGAGAAUAACUGAGAGAAAUCUUAGCUAAUACCGCAUAACACUUACGAGUCAAAGCAGCAAUGCGCUUGGAGAGGAGUUCGCGGCCGAUUAGUUAGUUGGCGGGGUAAUGGCCCACCAAGACGAUGAUCGGUAUCCGGCCUGAGAGGGCGCACGGACACACUGGAACUGAAACACGGUCCAGACUCCUACGGGAGGCAGCAGUGGGGAAUUUUGCGCAAUGGGGGAAACCCUGACGCAGCAACGCCGCGUGGAGGAUGAAGUAUCUUGGUACGUAAACUCCUUUCGAUGGGAAGAUAAUGACGGUACCAAUAGAAGAAGCCCCGGCUAACUUCGUGCCAGCCGCCGC
rnacentral:rRNA from 1 species